GAUGAACGCUGGCGGCGUGCUUAACACAUGCAAGUCGAACGAUGAAGCCCAGCUUGCUGGGUGGAUUAGUGGCGAACGGGUGAGUAACACGUGAGUAACCUGCCCUUGACUCUGGGAUAAGCCUGGGAAACUGGGUCUAAUACUGGAUAUGACUUCUCAUCGCAUGGUGGGGGGUGGAAAGAUUUAUUGGUCUUGGAUGGACUCGCGGCCUAUCAGCUUGUUGGUGAGGUAAUGGCUCACCAAGGCGACGACGGGUAGCCGGCCUGAGAGGGUGACCGGCCACACUGGGACUGAGACACGGCCCAGACUCCUACGGGAGGCAGCAGUGGGGAAUAUUGCACAAUGGGCGCAAGCCUGAUGCAGCGACGCCGCGUGAGGGAUGACGGCCUCCGGGUUGUAAACCUCUUUCAGUAGGGAAGAAGCGAGAGUGACGGUACCUGCAGAAGAAGCGCCGGCUAACUACGUG
rnacentral:rRNA from 1 species